CGAAAGCCUGACGGAGCAACGCCGCGUGUGGGAAGAAGGCCUUUGGGCUGUCAACCACUUUUCUCAGGGAAGAAGUUCUGACGGUACCUGAGGAAUCAGCCUCGGCUAACUCCGUGCCAGCAGCCGCGGUAAUACGGAGGAGGCAAGCGUUAUUCGGAAUUAUUGGGCGUAAAGCGUCCGCAGGGGGCUCAUCAAGUCUGCUGUCAAAGGUCGGAGCUCAACUCCGGUUCGGCAGUGGAAACUGGUGGGCUAGAGGGCGACAGGGGUAGAGGGAAUUCCCAGUGUAGCGGUGAAAUGCGUAGAUAUUGGGAAGAACACCAGUGGCGAAAGCGCUCUGCUGGGCCAUUACUGACACUGAGAGACGAAAGCUAGGGGAGCA
rnacentral:rRNA from 1 species